rnacentral:tRNA from 13 species
UGACCCGGAAGUAAUUUGAACACGCAGCCUUCUGAUCUGGAGUCAAACACGCUACCGUUGCGCCACCGAGUC